UAUAAUCGAGGACACCUACCUAGACCUAGUAACCAAGCUAAAUACUUUGUUAAAUAAGUCUGCAUUGCGGACAGCUACUCCAUGUACCUCCAAAAUAAAGCUUCCUAAUGUAGUCAUACCUACAUUCACUGAUUUACCUUCUAUGACGAAGUCAACAACUUCAACUCUGCGAAAUAUGAUUUCGGAGGUGAAGCAACAUCUGGCUGCACUCAGAAACCUGGACGAACCAGUAGACUCCUGGGACAGCAUU